CGAACCGUGCUGGAGAAGCAGGGCACGUGCUCCAUCCAUCCGAUCCCAGGAGGUUACAGCAUGUGCUCUCCUUCUCCAGCAUGGCUUC
rnacentral:pre_miRNA from 2 species